GAUGAACGCUGGCGGCGUGCCUAAUACAUGCAAGUCGAGCGAACGGACGAGAAGCUUGCUUCUCUGAUGUUAGCGGCGGACGGGUGAGUAACACGUGGAUAACCUACCUAUAAGACUGGGAUAACUUCGGGAAACCGUAGCUAAUACCGGAUAAUAUUUUGAACCGCAUGGUUCGAAAGUGAAAGACGGUCUUGCUGUCACUUAUAGAUGGAUCCGCGCUGCAUUAGCUAGUUGGUAAGGUAACGGCUUACCAAGGCAACGAUGCAUAGCCGACCUGAGAGGGUGAUCGGCCACACUGGAACUGAGACACGGUCCAGACUCCUACGGGAGGCAGCAGUAGGGAAUCUUCCGCGAUGGGCGAAAGCCUGACGGAGCAACGCCGCGUGAGUGAUGAAGGUCUUCGGAUCGUAAAACUCUGUUAUUAGGGAAGAACAUAUGUGUAAGUAACUGUGCACAUCUUGACGGUACCUAAUCAGAAAGCCACGGCUAACUACGUG
rnacentral:rRNA from 1 species